CUAAGUUAAGUGAGGUACGUGUCAUAGUGGGUAUUUAACUGAGCUCAUAUUAGCUUUAGCAAUAAUGGAAGUUCAUAGGUAAGAUAUGUACACUGUAUAAGUAGUUUUUUACUAAAAUUCAAAAAAUUACCUUCUCUUAACUUCAUAGAUAGCAACAUAAUUCUAUCAUGGAUUGUUGCUGCCCUAUUAUAAAUAUAGAAUAAAUUUGGAUUGGUAGAAAGCAUUUGACAUAACCAUUUCUAUUAACACCAGGAACAAUGUAUUUUAUGCUUCUUUGUGGUAAGGAAAAUAUAGUCCUUUCUUAGAAUGAAUAUAGAUAGAGUUGACAGGUUUAGCAAAUAAAAACAUUAGAUGCCCAAUUUAAUUUGAAUUUCAGAGAAAUGUCGAAUAAUUUUUUUGGUCUAAGUAUGUCCCAUUACAACUAUGUAGAAUGUAUGAUGACUUGUCUUUUAUGAGUCUGAUUUUUUUCUUAAAAUAGAACACAUUUUAUAUUUCUUUUUGCUAGCAGGGUCUGUUGGCACCAUUUCCCUUCAACAAUCUAUUGACAUGCUGAAAACUAAAGUGUCUUUGGAAUAACCUCCUGGUGAAUUUCCUUUUCACCCUGUCUACAGUGAUUUCAGGGAGCUACUUGUGAUGUCCUUUCCGAUGUCAGAAUUAAGGGUAGGGCAGAGGCAGAUGUAAGUACAGUACUGCCCACUCCCCUUCAAAGUCUAGUGGGUAGGCCUGGAAGCUUAUUGAGCAAAUAUGAUUUUAGUCACAAGUAGACAGGAUAGUCUGGACUAAUAAUGAAAAAUGUUAACACUACCUUGGAUUUAGAGUACUCUUCCUUUGAAGGUGUAAUUAAUUAAUACUUCCUUUGCAGAUGUAAUUCAUUAAUGCUUCACUUUGGUUUUGUUUUAGUACUUCACUUAUCCAAGGUAGGUUAAGCAAAGAAGUAUUAUUCAUUACACUGAAGUAUUAUUCAUUACACUGAAGUGAACAGUUCAGGCCUCUUCUGUCACAUCAGUUUAAAUAAGUACAACAAAGAUUUAUGACUUCAGCUGGGCGAAGUGGCUCAUGCCCGUAAUCCCAGCACUUUGGAAAGCUGAGGUGGGUGGAUGGCUUGAGCCCAGGAGUUUGAGACCAGUACUAGGCAACAUAGGUGGACCUCCGUCUUUACCAAAAAUUUAAAAAUUAACUAGGCAUAGUGGUGUGCACCUGUAGUUAGUCUCAGCUACUUGGGAGUCUGAGGUGGGAGGAUUGCCUGAGCCUGGGAGUUGAAGGCUGCAGUGAGCCAUGAUCCUGCCACUGCACUCCCAUCCUGGACAACAAAGCAAGACACUGUUGCAAAAAAAAAAAAAAGAAAAGAAAAAGAAAAAAGAAUUAUCAACUCUUACUGUCCCUGAACAUUGAAGAUCAAGAGAUCAAUGACAUUCUAAAUGUUGGAAUUUACAGUCUUCCAGUCUCCUGGACCACAAUGUACAGUUAAUAGAUCUUUCCAAGCUUUAUGGUACUGAAUCCCUAAUUAGCAUUCCACUGAAGAGCUCUUAAGGAACUGAAAAGGAACUGCUGCGUACCACUCCUGCUGAUGGUAAUUUCUUGGAUCCAAAACAAAAUCUGUGUAUUUAUUUCUUUGAAAACAUCAUUUGUCGACCGUCCUUUCACUG
rnacentral:lncRNA from 1 species